CGGGCGGGGACCUGUUGGGUUGUCAAACAGGCCAAUAAAACGCUCUCCUCAUUCUGAGGUGGUCACUUUUGUUUGCUUUCAAAGCGAAUAGCAUUGCCU
rnacentral:lncRNA from 1 species